rnacentral:lncRNA from 1 species
CUUUGAGACAUUUCAUGUCUUUUGUAGCUGCAUAAUUAAGCAUUAUGCAAAAUGCUUAAAAAUGUAUGGAAAAACUGUCUGUGGUUAAUAGCUAACAACUGAACAAAAUGAGAGCAGUAAAACAGCAGCAGGUACCUGAUUUACCCGGCGCUGCAAUUUCAAGGAGUCCAAGAUAGAAAUCCAGGACUUUGUUUUGGGGUUGAUGAUGAUGGUGGAGAGUUCGUAAAACAACCACUCAGCCUCUCUGAUCUACUAAAAAUUCUAGAAACCAAAGGUGUGCAUAUGGACACCUGGAUGACUGUCUAAUUCAGCACCAAGAUGCAGCUGAAACUUAUACCCAGGGCUAAGUGCUCCAGUCCUGGCUCACUGACUUUGAUGCCCCUGUGAGCUGAAUCAACGCAUCGCUCUAAGAUGGCUGCACAGGUGCUCCUCUCACGUUAUGUUUUCUAUUCUUUCAGAACCUGGAAUGCUACCUUCAGAUUAUGGAAGCUGGCAAAAUUCAUAACCUGGCAAAAGGGAAAAUAUUCACAUAACUCUCGGCAAGAAACCAAAUCAAACUAUUCUUUUUAAUUGCAGAUGGCAGAGGACAAUAUGCUGGGUCUGCAAUAACAUUGACUCAAAAUUCCUUGCUAAUUAUGAAAUAACUUCCUAAAGAUUGCAAGCAAAAGGAAGUCAGAGAACAAAGCAAUGUCAAGUAUGCACAUGUCACAACACAAUGUGCUGAUUCCAAGCCUUUGGAAACAUGCUGAAAGACAUGUCUGGAAAAAAAAAAAAAAAAACAGGGAAAUGCUUCCACACAAACUUUCAGCAUGAAAACAACAGCUGAAUGCGCCUGUUCCCACCAGGAAAAAAUACCCCGAAAUAACAAAAGGUGGUGGAAAGCUAGAAAUGAAAUCAUCAGAUGGCGAGUAUGCUUUUUUGUCUGUUCCUAAAUCUUACAUAUACUGUACUUCCACUACAUUGUAAAUCAAGGGAUCAAUCUGGAGUAGAGUUUGACUGCAAGGUGCCAAGAAGACCAAGAAAAAUGGAAUGUAUAAACAGGUCUCUUUUACAAUGAAGGACUAGUAGAACAAAACAGAAGGAAAGCAAACAAAGGGCAACACUUUCAGAUAGUGUAUCUGAAGGAAUGCAAACUCUGUGCAUUCCUGAUCACUCCUGUAGGUACUGAAGAUAUAAAAGACACACUCUUGAGGAGAAUGGCAUACACAGUGUUUCUUUGUGAAAGAGUCCGCGUACAUUCCCUUCAUAACCACAGGUAAACCUUUGUAUUAUUGGUAUACUCUAAAGAUUUGUUUUCAGUUAGGUCUACACUGUUGGCUUGCGGAGUCCAAUUUUUUGUCAACUUAAGAGCUAAGGGUUAAGUAAAUUCUGGGGGCAAAUUGCAGGAUCCCAGAAAAGGUUAUAUGUACAACAUAAAUGAAACACUGCAUGCAUCUGACUUUAUAUGUUGCAAAAUACCACCUCAAGAAACAGAGGGAUAUCAUAUAUAAAUGCAAAUGACGCAAUGUUCAGUAAUGAAUAACGAUAUGACGAGACAUUUUUCUUUCAAAGCUGACAGAAGAAAAUAAACUUAUCCCUAGUUUGUGCA